AGAGUUUGAUCCUGGCUCAGGAUGAACGCUGGCGGCGUGCCUAACACAUGCAAGUCGAGCGGGGAACCCCUUUCGGGGAGUUUUCAGCGGCGGACGGGUGAGUAACGCGUGAGCAACCUUUCCUUCACAGGGGGAUAACGCAGCGAAAGCUGUGCUAAUACCGCUUAAGACCACAAUGUCGCAUGGCAAAGGGGUCAAAGGAGCAAUCCGGUGAAGGGUGGGCUCGCGUCUGAUUAGCUAGUUGGUGAGGUAACGGCCCACCAAGGCGACGACCAGUAGCCGACCUGAGAGGGUGAUCGGCCACACUGGGACUGAGACACGGCCCAGACUCCUACGGGAGGCAGCAGUGGGGAAUUUUGGGCAAUGGCCGAAAGGGCUGACCCAGCAACACCGCGUGAGUGAAGAAGGCCUUCGGGUUGUAAAGCUCUGUUACCCGUGAAGAACGGUACGUCGAGGAAAUGCGAUGUACUUGACGGUAGCGGGGGAGGAAGCUCCGGCUAACUACGUGCCAGCAGCCGCGGUAAUACGUAGGGAGCGAGCGUUGUCCGGAUUUAUUGGGCGUAAAGGGCGUGUAGGCGGCUUGUUAAGUCUGGAGUGAAAAUCCGGGGCUCAACCCCGGAACUGCUUCGGAUACUGAUGAGCUUGAGUACUCUAGAGGGCAGUGGAAUUCCCGGUGUAGCAGUGAAAUGCGUAGAGAUCGGGAGGAACACCAGUGGCGAAGGCGACUGCCUGGGGAGAAACUGACGCUGAGGCGCGAAAGCUGGGGGAGCAAACGGGAUUAGAUACCCCGGUAGUCCCAGCCGUAAACGAUGAGUGCUAGGUGUAGCGGGUAUCGACCCCUGCUGUGCCGCAGUUAACGCAAUAAGCACUCCGCCUGGGGAGUACGGCCGCAAGGUUGAAACUCAAAGGAAUUGACGG
rnacentral:rRNA from 1 species